rnacentral:sRNA from 1 species
AUCUCUCCUUGAAGAGUGCUCUCUACUCCCUCAACACAAAGCCGACGACUAUACUAACAUUAGCUUUCCUCACCACCUACCUCCGUCGGGAAGGGAAAAGAAGGCUCUGGGCACCCGCGGGCCUCCCAUCUGGGCCCGCAUUUUCGAACCGCCCCCCGAGGUCGCUUUGAAGCAGGGAACCCCGACUUUAAGCGGCCAGGGGUUGAAGCCGGACAGCUGCAGACUGAGGCGAUCCGCGGCGCCCUCUACUGGUCACCAGUAGGAAUGUAUCUCUACAGCCUCUUGGGGAAGCUUUGCAAGUAAUUAGGUCAUAGAAAGGAGGACUGGAAUUUUCUCUUCGAGUCUGAGGGCAAGUGGACAUGCAUUUGGUGAUGAAGGGGCUUUUUACUUUCCGCACUUCCAAAGCCUGAAGCAAUGAGAGGCCUGCACUGCUUGUGGAGGACAGAAGAGGGCAUCAGGUCCCCUGGAACUGGAGUUAAAGAAGGUAGUGGGCCACUAUUGUGAAUGCGGGAAACAGUAUCAGGUCCUGUAGAAGGGCAGCAAGUGCUCUAAGUGGGUGAGUCAUUGCUACAGCUCUAAGAGACAUACAUUUUUAUAAGACCAUGGUUUUAUUCUGUUAGGGCUCCAUGCUCAUGAUUUGAUUUCAUCUUUGAAAGUAUCCCUUCUAACAUCCAGAUAUCAUCAAUAUUAUAGGAUUAAAGGAUGAUGCCUUUAAGAGCAUAUGUGGUUAAAAUGGCUUCGUCCUGCUUAAUGAGUUUUUAGCCCCUCACAACACAGAUGUCAUGAGUCAUCUGGCAGCUUGUCCCCAUGUUCCUCUGUGGUGUUGGCACAAGGCGUUCCUCUCCUCCAGAGGGUGUAACAGGAAGGUCUCCAUCAGAUUCCGUCAGCUAGAUCAUAGUUUUUAUAUCUCCCCCUGAACUCUGAGGAAUACAUUUCUGUUGUUUUUACAAUAGCUGUCGUCGUCAUGUACUUAGACAUAGUAACCCAUGGAUUAAUAAUGCUCACUCUGAAGGCCUUAUUUCUAAAUACAAUAGCAGUAACUUGGGACUCCAACACACAUGUACUCGUAGUACACAGCUCAGCUCAGAGCAGCUCCCUAGGUAGAGAGCUGUCCCCUCCCUCGCUCUUCAUCAUGGCUGUCUCUUAAAUCCAGUCCCAUAAGUGCUUCUCUUUCUCCACCAUAACCACUGCCAACCAUCCCUAGUCGCCACACCUUUAGCUCUUGUUUUAGCUGUAAGGCUUGCUCCAGCUUAAUGCACACCCCUUUCCACAGUUCACAGUGCAAUCUGUGCCCAUAAGCAAAUCCCCCACCUCCCUCUCACCUAUUCUUAACCUGUCCAUGGAUGAUCUAAAAUGCCCACAUUUAGUUCAGCUUUUACAGACUAUAAUGGAUGCAUAUUUAGCUGCUUAUAGGUUUAGCUGUAAAAAUUAGUAAGUGUUGACCUUUGUGUAUAUCUAUGAAAAUGUGUCCACAGGUAAGAAAAUGAACAUGAUAACUCAUAUCCCUGUACGAUAUCUAUCUCCCCUUCUUCUAUGUUCUUAUCACGGUCACUAGGUGAUUACCACAGUGUAAUUAAUACACACGCUGCAUAUUACAGAGUGUAACUUUUUAGGAUUUUCCAUAAAUGAAAUCAAACUAUUUUGUCUUUUACUCACUUGUUAUAAUUAUCAUCAACAUUUUUGCACAUCCAUUUUGAUGCUUAAAGAAGCUUUUCUUCUGAUUCUUGUAUACUAUUCCAUUUCUUAAUUCAAAAUUUUACUUUAUGUGUAUGGGUGUUUUACCCGUAUGCUUGUCUAGGUACCUCAAGGGUGUCUAUUGUUCACAGAGACCGAAAGACGGUGUCAUAUGCCUUCAAACUGGUGUUACAAACAGGAGUGAGCUGCCAUGUGAAUGCUGGGAAUUGAACCUGGACCCCUUGGAAGAGCAGUCAGUGCUCUUCACUGUUGAGCCAUCUCUCUGGUGCCAGCAUUUCAUUUUUAUAGUUAUACCAAAAUGUGCUUGUUCAUUUCUGAGUGGAAAGUAAGACAAUUCGUUCGAAGUGAUGCUGGUUUUCUGAGGCCGCUGUAACAAGUUAGAGCAAUGCUGAAGUGUUAAAAGAACACAGUUCUUCUUCUCCCGGGUCUGGGAGCCAGAGUCCGAAAUGAACAUGUCAGCAGGAUGACAUCCUCUCCACAGGCCCUGGGGCAUGUACCUUGUGGCCCCUUCUCGCUUUUGACAUUCCUUGGCUUGUGACUUCGUUUCUCCAAUCUCUCUCCAGUUUUACAUAACCUCACCUAUGUCUUUCUGUAUUCCUCUCUUGACAGCUGCUGGUGGUGGUAUUGAGUGCCCACUGGAAAAUGUAGGAAGACAGCCUCAAUGAAAGAGUCGUUCUUUUAUCUGCAACAUUCCCGUUUGUAACUACUCCUAAGAUAAAAUGCAUAGGUUCUGUUGACUGGUUUUUAUUUAUUUUACAUAUGUGAGUACACCAC